rnacentral:rRNA from 1 species
UAGGGAAUCUUCCACAAUGGGCGAAAGCCUGAUGGAGCAACGCCGCGUGUGUGAUGAAGGGUUUCGGCUCGUAAAACACUGUUGUAAGAGAAGAAUGACAUUGAGAGUAACUGUUCAAUGUGUGACGGUAUCUUACCAGAAAGGAACGGCUAAAAUACGUGCCAA